rnacentral:rRNA from 1 species
UAAACUAGGAUUAGAUACCCUAUUAUUGAAAAUUUAAAUUAUUAUACCAGAUUAGUAGUAGUUAUGUUCUUGAAAUUCAAAGAAUCUGGCGGUAUUUUAGUCUAUUCAGAGGAACCUGUCCUAUAAUUGAUAAUCCACGAUUAAUUUUACUUAUUUUAUUAGUUUGUAUAUCGUCGUAGUUUGAAUGUUUUAAGAGAAUAAUGAAUGUUCAAGAUUUAUAAUAAUAAAGGAAAUCAGAUCAAGAUACAGCUUAUAAAUAAGAAGAGAUGGGUUACAAUAAAUUUAUUUAUAUGGUUAUUUUAAUUAACAUUAAUAUAUAAAGCGGAUUUGAUAGUAAUAUAGUUUAGUUAAAUUAUAUGAUUUUAGCUCUAAAAUAUGUACAUAUCGCCCGUCGCUCCCACUCUAAGGUGGGAUAAGUCGUAACAGAGUAGGCGUACUGGAAAGUGUGCCUGGUAAGGCAAAUUAGAGCUUGGUAGAAAGCAUUUUAUUUACAUUAAAAAGUUAGUUGUGAGAAUCAAUUUAAUUUGAAAUUUUAUGUUUAUAUUUAUUUUUUAAAAAAAGUAUUUUUAAAAUUAGUAAAUUUACGAAUUUUUGUUUUGUAUUAUAGUUAAUUGUAUAGUGAUAGGUUAUUGAAAUAUUAUGAAAUAAAAAUUAUAUGAAAGAAGAAUUAAUUUUUUGUACCUUGUGUAUCAGGGUUUAUCAAAAUUAUAUAAUAAGUUAUAGAUCUCGAAUUAAAAAGAGCUAAUAUUAUAUAAAUUUAAUUGUGGCAUAAAUUUUUUUAAUAUAAUAUUAGAAAUGAAACGUUAAUCGUUUUUUAAGAUAUCUAGUUUUUUAAGAAAUAGAUUUAAUCUAGUUUAUAUUUUGUAGGUAAUUACUUUGUUAAUUAUCUAAAAAUAUAAGGUAAUAUUUUAAGGGAUAAGCUUUAAAAUAAAGUAUUAUAAUUAUUUUUGUUAAUAUGAAUAAUUGUAGGAUUGGAAAUUUUUAUCUAUAGUAUGUUAUAAUUAAUUUUCGUAGUAAUAAGAUUUAUAUGUAAAUUUAAGUUAUUUAUUAAAAUAAUAUAUUUAAUAUAGUUUUAUAUGUAAUAAUGAUAAAAUUAGUAUAAUUUAAUGUAAAUUUAAUUUAAAGUUUUAAGGUUAUAUUAAGGAACUCGGCAAAUAUAUUUUUCGCCUGUUUAUUAAAAACAUGUCUUUUUGAGUAUAAUUUAAAGUCUGACCUGCCCAAUGAGGAGUUGAAUGGCCGCGGUAUUUUGACCGUGCAAAGGUAGCAUAAUCAUUAGUUUUUUAAUUGAAAGCUGGAAUGAACGGUUGGACGAGAAAAUAACUGUCUCAAUAUAAUUUAAAUUAGAAUUUUAUUUUUAAGUAAGAAAGCUUAAAUAAAUUUAAAAGACGAGAAGACCCUAUAGAGUUUUAUAUUUAUUAUUAUAUUUAUUUUUUAGUAUUGUAUAAGUUUUUAUAAUGAUAAGUAUUUUGUUGGGGCGACAGAAAAAUUGAAUAAACUUUUUUUAAUUAUAAACAUUGAUUUAUGAGUAUUUGAUCCAUUUUUUAUGAUUAUAAGAUUAAAUUACCUUAGGGAUAACAGCGUAAUUUUUUUUGAGAGUUCUUAUCGAAAAAAGAGUUUGCGACCUCGAUGUUGGAUUAAAAUAUACUUUUGGUGUAGAAGCUAGAAAGUUAGGUCUGUUCGACCUUUAAAAUUUUACAUGAUCUGAGUUCAAACCGGAGA